rnacentral:rRNA from 1 species
UUUUAAUGAGUUUUAUGAUAAAAUUUUAUAUGAAUAUCAAUUGUAAAUUUUAUAAGUAUUGGCGGUGCUAUAUUAAAUUCUGAGAAACUUGCUUUUUUAAAAUGAUAUUACACAAAACAUCUUAUCUUAGUUUAAAGGUUUAUAUAUUGCUGUUAAAUUUAUUGUUUAAUAUUUAUUUGAAUAGGUUAGAUUUGUGUUUAUAAAUGAAUUCAAGUCAAAAUGUAGUUUUAUUAAGGUAGGAGUGAGUUGCUUUUUUAUAGUAAUAAGAGUAAAGUGAAAUGGAUGAAAUUUUUUAAAACUAGUGGAUUAGGUUGUAAUUAAGAAGUAUUUAGUCUUAUUGAUAAAAUAUAUUUGCAUGUACAUAUCGCCCGUCAC